rnacentral:rRNA from 1 species
UACAUGGGGGUGCAAACGUUGCUCGGAAUUAUUGGGCGUAAAGCGCACGUAGGCGGUUCGUUAAGUCGGAUGUGAAAGCCCCUCGGCUCAACUGAGGAAGUGCACCCGAAACUGGCGAGCUUGAGUACGAAAGAGGAUCCGCGGAAUUCCCCGGUGUAGAGGUGAAAUUCGUAGAUAUCGGGAGGAACACCGGUGGCGAAGGCGGCGAUCUGGGUCGAUACUGACGCUGAGGUGCGAAAGCGUGGGGGAGCAA